UAGGGAAUCUUCCGCAAUGGACGCAAGUCUGACGGAGCAACGCCGCGUGAGUGAAGAAGGAUUUCGGUUCGUAAAACUCUGUUGUUAGAGAAGAACAGCGCAUAGAGUAACUGUUAUGCGUGUGACGGUAUCUAACCAGAAAGCCACGGCUAACUACGUGCCAGCAGCCGCGGUAAUACGUAGGUGGCAAGCGUUGUCCGGAUUUAUUGGGCGUAAAGCGAGCGCAGGCGGUCAAUUAAGUCUGAUGUGAAAGCCCCCGGCUCAACCGGGGAGGGUCAUUGGAAACUGGUUGACGUGAGUGCAGAAGAGGAGAGUGGAAUUCCAUGUGUAGCGGUGAAAUGCGUAAAUAUAUGGAGGAACACCAGUGGCGAAGGCGACUCUCUGGUCUGUAACUGACGCUGAGGCUCGAAAGCGUGGGUAGCAAACAGG
rnacentral:rRNA from 1 species